GGGUCCAUGGUCUAGUGGUACGAUUCUCCCUUCGGGUGGCAGCCCGCGGCUUCUGUGCUGCGAGAAUGGGAGAGGUCCUGGGUUCGAUCCCCGGUGGACCCC